AGUGAACGCUGGCGGUAGGCCUAACACAUGCAAGUCGAACGGCAGCUCAGUAAGAGCUUGCUCUUACGGGUGGCGAGUGGCGGACGGGUGAGGAAUACAUCGGAAUCUACUUUUUCGUGGGGGAUAACGUAAGGAAACUUACGCUAAUACCGCAUACGACCUACGGGUGAAAGCAGGGGAUCUUCGGACCUUGCGCGAUUGAAUGAGCCGAUGUCGGAUUAGCUAGUUGGCGGGGUAAAGGCCCACCAAGGCGACGAUCCGUAGCUGGUCUGAGAGGAUGAUCAGCCACACUGGAACUGAGACACGGUCCAGACUCCUACGGGAGGCAGCAGUGGGGAAUAUUGGACAAUGGGCGCAAGCCUGAUCCAGCCAUACCGCGUGGGUGAAGAAGGCCUUCGGGUUGUAAAGCCCUUUUGUUGGGAAAGAAAAGCAGCAGGUUAAUACCCCGCUGUUCUGACGGUACCCAAAGAAUAAGCACCGGCUAACUUCGUG
rnacentral:rRNA from 1 species